UGCCAGUAAGGAAGUUUCAGACAUGAAAGUGUUAACAGCUGCUUUGAAAUUACUCCUAUUUAAGAAGAAAAAUUAUAUUACUUUCUUAAUCUUUCUAAUUCUAUUCUCAUAAGAUGAUCUUGGAUUUGUUCCUUUAGCACAGACUCUUUAGUGCAGUCCUGAUUUCUGUAUUAAUGAAUUGAGAAGAUGACAUCAGGCUCUUAGGCAUUUCUCCCUGACGUCAGUAUUUACUGGGCACGAGCCUGUGCUCUCUGUAUUGGUGGUCCCCAGGUGCUCUUCAGCACAUGAAUUGAUGAGGGAAGGAUCUGUCCUUGGCUAACCUCUGUGAACACUGCAGAGGGGUUAACUCCAGAUUUACACCGUGCAACUGACAGUUUAAGUGGUCUCAGUUGGAGGCUUUCAACAGAAAUUCUGGUCAAAGAAAUACGAAGAAGGAUGGGCAGAGAAGUCUUCAACUUUCAGAAGGGACACUCCAUCACAGGUCUUUUUUUGAGAGAACAUCAUGGACUUUUCACAGGAGCUGAGAAGGGCCACAGGGGCAGGCCGAGAAGUUCCUUAUGAAGUGUGCAACACACCGGUUGGGAAAAUUGCUGUCCCUGAACAGACUUUUUCUGGAAAAGAAACAAGAGACUACCUGGAUGGACUAAACAACAGAAAGAAUCUGGAAGAAGGCUCUUUGUAAUAGGAGUCUUCUUGUCAUGGAUCAUCCUGAGACAGGUCUCCAGACCACACACAUUCUCCGCAGCAACUUGAGAG
ensembl:lncRNA